rnacentral:rRNA from 1 species
CCUACGGGUGGCUGCAGUCGAGAAUCAUUCACAAUGGGGGAAACCCUGAUGGUGCGACGCCGCGUGGGGGAAUGAAGGUCUUCGGAUUGUAAACCCCUGUCAUGUGGGAGCAAAUUAAAAAGAUAGUACCACAAGAGGAAGAGACGGCUAACUCUGUGCCAGCAGCCGCGGGAAUACAGAGGUCUCAAGCGGGUGGCGGAAUCACUGGGCGUAAAGCGUGCUUAGGCUGUUUCGUAAGUCGUGUGUGAAAGGCGCGGGCUCAGCCCGCGGACGGCACAUGAUACUGCGAGACUAGAGUAAUGGAGGGGGGACCGGAAUUCUCGGGGUAGGAGGGAAAUGCGUAGAUAUCGAGAGGAACACUCGUGGCGAAGGCGGGUUCCUGGACAUUAACUGACGCUGAGGCACGAAGGCCAGGGGAGCGAAAGGGAUUAGAUACCCCGGUAGUC